rnacentral:rRNA from 1 species
GCAUCGGCUCGUCGGGUCGCUGGAGUGGCCGUGGGAAGGUUCCGGAACCCUUGAGCGAGCUCGCUCGGCCCGGCCUGCUGCUCCGCCUUAAUCCCCAUCUAACCCCAGGAUUUGUCCUCCUCCACCCAGCCGCCAAACCUUCUCGAAGCUUCCCCACCCCGCCCCCGCCCCGAUCCGAUCGGACCGCCCGCCCGCCAUGGCCGACGAGGCGAAGGCCAAAGGUAAUGCGGCCUUCUCGGCAGGCCGCUUCGAGGAGGCGGCGGGGCACUUCUCCGACGCCAUCGCGCUCGCCCCCGCCAACCACGUUCUCUACUCCAACCGCUCGGCGGCGCUCGCCUCGAUCCACCGCUACUCCGACGCGCUCGCCGACGCCGAGAAGACCGUCGAGCUCAAGCCCGACUGGGCCAAGGGAUACUCGCGCCUCGGCGCCGCCCACCUCGGCCUCGGCGACGCCGCCAGCGCCGCCGCCGCCUACGAGAAGGGCCUCGCCCUCGAUCCCAGCAACGAGGGCCUCAAGGCCGGCCUCGCUGACGCCAAGAAGGCUGCCGGCGCCCCGCCGCGCCGCGCGCCGUCUGGCGGCGCCGACGCCAUCGGCCAGAUGUUCCAGGGCCCCGAGCUCUGGACCAAGAUCGCCUCCGACCCCGCUACGCGCGCCUAUCUCGACCAGUCCGACUUCAUGCAGAUGCUGCGGGAGGUGCAGCGGAAUCCCAGCAGCCUCAACACGUACCUGUCCGACCCGCGCAUGAUGCAGGUGCUCAGCCUCAUGCUUAACAUCAAGAUCCAGACGCCCCAGGACUCCGAUUUUUCGCAGUCUUCCUCGCCGUCGCAGCCGCCACCGCAGCAGCAGAAGCAACAGCCUGAGACAAAGGCGAGGGAGAUGGAGCCUGAGCCACAACCGGAGCCGAUGGAGGUGUCUGAUGAGGAGAAGGAGCGGAAGGAGAGGAAAGCUGCUGCUCUGAAGGAGAAGGAGGCAGGGAAUGCAUCCUACAAGAAGAAGGACUUUGAGACGGCGAUCCAGCAUUACACAAAGGCCUUGGAACUUGAUGACGAGGACAUCUCCUACCUCACUAACCGAGCAGCGGUGUACAUCGAAAUGGGCAAGUACGAUGAGUGCAUUGAGGACUGUGAUAAGGCUGUGGAGAGGGGAAGAGAACUUCGUGCUGAUUUCAAGAUGGUUGCAAGGGCACUAACAAGAAAAGGAACUGCUCUGGCCAAACUUGCUAAGAACUCGAAGGACUAUGAUAUUGCCAUUGAGACUUUCCAGAAGGCUCUAACUGAGCAUCGGAAUCCAGACACUCUUAAAAGGUUAAAUGAGGCUGAGAAGGCAAAGAAAGACUUAGAGCAACAAGAGUAUUAUGACCCAAAGUUAGCUGAUGAGGAGAGGGAGAAAGGUAAUGAGAUGUUCAAGCAGCAGAAGUAUCCAGAAGCAAUAAAGCAUUACAAUGAGGCUAUCAGGAGGAACCCGAAGGAUGCUAGGGUGUACAGUAAUAGGGCUGCAUGUUACACCAAGUUGGGAGCCAUGCCUGAAGGUCUUAAAGACGCAGAGAAGUGUAUUGAGCUAGACCCAACCUUCACCAAAGGGUAUACAAGAAAAGGUGCAGUUCAGUUUUUCAUGAAGGAAUACGAAAAGGCAAUGGAAACUUACCAGGCUGGGUUGAAACUUGACCCAAAUAACCAGGAACUGCUUGAUGGUAUAAGGAGGUGUGUUGAGCAGAUCAACAAGGCUAACAGGGGUGACAUAAGUCAGGAGGAUUUGCAGGAGAAACAGAGUAAAGCUAUGCAGGACCCAGAAAUCCAGAACAUCCUUACCGAUCCCAUCAUGCGACAGGUGUUGAUGGAUUUCCAGGAGAACCCUAGGGCUGCUCAGGAUCAUCUGAAGGACCCUGGAGUAGCACAGAAGAUCCAAAAGCUCAUAAACGCUGGAAUAGUCCAAACGAGAUGAUCAAGCAAAGCUAGAACGAAGCCAGGGGCGUUUGUAUUGAGAUUGUGCUCGGUUGUGUCACCAUUGUACACUGCUUCUCUGCCCAGCGUGAACGAACUUCUAUUCUAUGCCAUGGGGCUUUUCUGUUGGAUUCGGAAAUGCUGUCAAUGGAGAAAAUUCAUUGCCGCCUCUGGUCUGGAUGAUAUUUUAUUUUGAUGCGGAGCUAAGAAGGAAACAAAUGUGGAUUUCUUUCCUGAAAAGGCUUCGUAACUGGCGCCAAGCACUAAUUAUUCCGACUGAUUCCUUCUCUAUUAUACAAUCACGAGGUUGAACUCUGCUCAAGAAGGAAGUCUGAAGCAUUGGCUUUGAAACAAUCAAAUAAGGCCCUGUUCGAUAAUCGGAGCGGGGAAAAUUGCAACUCCACCAUUUUGAAUUGUAGCUCCGCUAACUCUGCUAAGGAGUUGUGGAGCGGAGCAAUACUUGCCGUAGCC